GGUGGGCUCGCGCCAUGCACUCAUUGGUUGGGUUGCUUGUUUCUGCGUGCAAAACGCUUUGUCCAAUCCGCUCCGCGUGCUCGCACCGCACCCAAUCCCAUCCUCUCCCCUGGUCGUCCCGAUCCACACCAGCCGCCGCACAACCCUAGCCCCUUUCCCCUCGAUCCCCACAGCCCCUCCCUCCUCCUCGCUCUCCGCCAUGGCCUCUGCACUAGGAGCCUCUCCAUGGCCUCCUACCCAUCCCCCCCACCACCAUAGGUGUACACAGAUGGUGGAUCCGUGCCGGAGAAGAGCAGCUCCAGUUAUGGUGGGGUGCAUCUGUGCCGAAGAUGAAGGAGGUCCGCUACCCGUCUUUGCCUCCUCGUUGCGUCCUUGUUGCUCCUCCUCCUCUCUCUCUCUCCGCACCUAGCAGUGCAGCAGCCGGAACAAGGGGAAGGAGCAGCCCGACCCGGCUCCAUCUCUCUCCUUCAUGCAGGAGAACUGGAUGAGCAGGUGGCGAGGGAAGCCGCCACGGCUAGCGGCGGCGCUGCACAGGAACGUCCACCUCCAGGAUUUUACUACUGCUAUGGACAAAAGAAGGCUAAAGCUGGGAAAGACAACAAUGUCAGGAGCCAACCGAGAUCCAAAAUGCCGAGAAGCAGGGUUUAUUUUCUCUCAUCACCAUAACAAAGGUGAGUUGAGUUGCUGCUUGGUUGGAGAUAUUGAUGUCGUUCGAGACGCCCGCUGGAUUCACCCUUUUCAAGGCUCUGAAUAAGGGCAAGCUCGACAAGGUCGAGGUGAGUGUUCGUCACCACCUCAGCUCUUGGUUUGGUUUGGAUUACUCGUGUUUUUUAUUUUGACUGCAAAAUAACUUCUCUUUUCAACACACUUAGUACGUGAUCUAGCAAUCAUAUUUUAUAAUAGAGUAAGUGAGAAAAAGCUCUUUAUUUGAAUGACCAAGAAUCCGUGGUGUGCUCCUGAACUGCAAGAAACACUCCAUUACGAAGCUCACUUAAGUAGGCUGAUAGAUGAUACCUUGUCUUAAGCCUAUUUUCUCAAAAUAAUGAGGCUGAAUGAUUCAAACACAAGCUGAACCAUCUUUCUCACCUCAUCAUUUCGUUACAUUUGAUUACUGAUUCGUUAAGGAGUUGUUGUUCUGUGUUCACCUAUUUUCCCAAACUGUAUGUACGCAUCGCUCGCAAAAGAAAUCGAUUUAAACCCUGUUCGAAAAAAUUUGGGCUGUUGUAAGGUUGAAAAAAAAUGCAUGUGUUGUCAUGUAAGCACUUGAAUUGAGGAGCAAAAUGAAAAGUAACUCAGCAGUGGAUAAUCUUACCUCAUUAGCCUAGACAAUACUACAGGUAGUAUGCUGUUGCUGGCCCAUAUAUCCCAAGACAGGGUACACAGAUAGCUCUUGACCUUGCCAUAACGUAAGUAGUUCAUUUGGUUAAUCUGUUUUGCGUUUUGACAUGCAUAAUUUGUUGCAUUAUUCUAUUCUUGAUAAAAUGAUGAUAAAAAUGAAAUGAAUCUUCAGUAUUGGGGCUGAUGGUCGGCACUUGUUGUGUAAAUGGAGUACACGCACAUUGCAGCGAUAAAGUUAUUAAUUGUCCCUAUAUAUUCCUCAGUUAGAUCUCUAAUAAAUCAAGAAGUUUGACAAUUGUCAGUAAGUUCAGUAUAUCAUCGUCUGCUUAAUAUUUCGCAAGUGGAAAAAGCAUACAAAUAUUAAUUCUCAGUAAAAAGGUGAAGUGUUCAUAUAUAUCAAUGCUUUCACCUCACUUGUCAUGCUGUUAUGAACUAUAUUUUUUUGUGAUUGCUAUAUCAGAAUCAAAUUGACCCAUCCGAUGCUUGACUGUAUCUUAGCAUGCUUAUCGAGUACAUCCCUUAUGUCAUUUUUAGAGAUAAAUUCAUUUGUGUCAAGUAUCGCAUUUUGCCAUAUGAACAUGACAAGUUGUCAUAUAUUGGCCUGUCAAAUUUAUCGGGUGUCAAGUUCACUUGCCAUGUUCUUAAUUCUGUUUCUUCUCAUUUUGAUGUUGGUGUGUGUAUUGUUAGUGAAAAUAUGCUCACCAUUUUUUUUAAAUAUGUGUAUGCCAUUAACUGAUGUCAUUGUUAGUAAUUUGUAUUUGCUUUAUCCGCUCUGAUGAGUUUGUCAGGUUCCUUUCUCAAUAUGCUUAGAUGCUUGUGCAACAGCAGAAGUAAUGGUUGAUUGGUCCAGCCUUUGUGUCGGUUUCAUAUGUAUAUAUGUUGGCCUAGCUAACAUUGUGAGUUAGUAAUUUAUGCUUCUUUUCUUUGGGAUAAUUAUGCCUAGCUGGAAACAAAGAGGAGUCAGGUAUGAUACAGCCACGGCGGCUGGCCAGCGACUAACAGGUAAUUUCUCUUUCAAUUUGAUGAUAAUGGAUGAGAAUCAGUUCUAUGAUUGCAGCUUAAUUGCAGCUUAUAAAAGCAGAUGUUGGAAUGUGAUGUACUUAUUCAUCAUGAUAGAUGCAAUUGCUUAUUAGUUGGUGCUCUCGAAUCCUUCUUUAACUAAUUUACUUUGGAGUUUGGACAAAGGAGACUAUUUUUUUAUUCGUUCUGUCAUGGAUUCCCUCUCUAGCCUAUGUAUGUUUCAGAGAUAGGCACACACCUAGGAGAAGCCUGAGAUAUAAUAAUAGUGCUAAGCAAUUACUCUGAUUGUCAUUCUAUGCUAUUAUCACAACACAGGUCAACAGAUAGUCAACAAAUGUGUAAUCAGCUUUGUCUGGGUCCUGCAUCAUCUACUAAUAAUCAAAUUUUGUAGCGAUCGUCUUAUAAAUUAGCAUACCUAUUUCUCCACAUUCGGUAGCUUUUAUUGUGACUACAAAGAAUAUAGUUUGAGGAUGGCAUGCCAAUUCUUCUAUGUCUUAGGUAUGAAGUAAUUUCUAAAAUGUCUUAGGCUUCCCUGUAAAUUAUGCAAAUUUAUGGCAUGCCACUAAAACCUACAGGGUGCUCCACCGAUGGUGAAAAUACCUCACAGGAUGAUGUUGGAUAUUAUUCUACAAACUUUGGGCCUACCGGUGGCUGAAAAUGUGACAGUGGCAUGAUGUGGAUGACUGUAAUUUCCAUACACCAACGUUAUCUUUUGGAGAUAAAAUAGCCGUAUGGCUAUUACAUGAGACCAUGUCAGAAGACCCUGCUGCUAUGGAAGCAAAAUGAUUCAUGAAAUCUGCGGUGAAAACAAAGAUAAGAAACUAUAAUUACAGCAGCAUUAAGAAACCGAGGACACGAAAUGAGUCUAAAAAAUGCUAUGGGCUAAUUCGUUCUAGCUAGGCGAUGUGUGGUAGAAGUUGUACUCACAGGAAGACUAUCGUGCUGUGUAUAAACCACAUUCUACGAUUCACUUCUGUUAUGCAUAUUUACUUUUCAGUUUUAGGACCAAAACCCAUCCAUUGUAAUGAAUUUGGUUGUAUGGGCAUUACCUAUUUGACUUAGGCUUGCUUCAUCACAUAUAGACUGCUUUUCUUUUCCCCACUGCUUGUAUGACCUAAAACUAUCAUGUAUAUGAGCCAAGUUAUUAGCAAUGUUUCACAUUUUCUUACUUGCAAUACUGUGCUUGCCUAUUCAGGUUUGAACUUUGGUUAUCCUUAUACAAGCCCCCG
rnacentral:rRNA from 1 species